UAAAUGUAAAAUGUAUAUGUAUAAUAAACUGACCCGAACCAUGGUAACAUUUUCCAAGGUGGAGGUGACUGCGCGUUUUGUAUUUUCUUUUCUCAUUAUUUGUGAAUUUUAUAGCAAUACUGGACUUUUUUUGGUUUUUUGAAAAUUUCUCGUAAUAGUAGCAUUGAGUCUGGAAUUGUGCCCAGUAUAUGUCAAUAGGCUCACCCCCUAUUACAUGGGACUUAAAACAUAAAUGGUGAAAAGUGGGUGCAUGCCUACCCCUUCGGGGAUAAAAGCGUGACGUUGUGUUGUUACUUUAUCUCUCAACACGAAAAAUAUGUCCAUUAGUUAUCUUUACUUGUCUAUUCAAUUGCGAAUUGAAUUUAAUGUUUCGCCACAACUUAAUAGGGAAGAUGCAAAAAUAAUAUUUAUGAAAAUUUUGUUAUUAAAAUGCUAAAAAAGAAUAAAAGAAGGGCCACAGCAAGGUUUUCAUUUUAUUUAAUGUUGAUUUUUAUCAUAAAUUAUGAAUAAAAAGUUACAUGUAAAGAAACGUAUUUCAAAACACCAAUCAGUGUUUAGUGACGUCUCUCCUGCUAUGUCAACUAUUGACAACUUUGAGUUGUGAACAUUUUAAGCGAAAAUUAUUUUGCAUUUAUCGGCUAAAAAUGGAAGCUGGGUUUAUCAAAGCAGAUUCUAGGAAUCUACCAAAAGUUAGCGUAGACAUGGUUGUAACUUUUUUAAUGAAAGUGCGGAGUUUUCGAGUGUAGAAAUAAUAUGGCGAUAACGCAAUCGGCUAUGUUCAAAUCAAAAGAGAUGGAGAAUUAUGUAUAGUAAAAAGUCGAGUUACGCCGGAGCAUAAAAUACGUAAAGAAGAUUAUCGUGUUACAGCCAUUAUAAAUGAAACGCAAAGCUUGGUUCAGUCCUGCCAAUGCGAAGAUUGUGCGGCUUCUGAAGGUGGGUGUAAGCAUGCUGCUGCACUAUUGCUAUGGUUACACAGAAGAUCUGAGGAGCCUCCGAUAACGUCCAUAAUAUGUUAUUGGAAAAAGACAAAAUUAUCUAUAUGUGCUUCUAGAAAAUCAUUUAUAAAAGCGAUACAAUGCUUUUAUAAAUGAAGUUAUGAAUGCUGCAAAGAAAUUCUGGAUAGAUGCUGUGUUUCCAAAAUUAAAAGAUAUUAAUUACAUGUUUUUUCUGUAACCAUUUUGUAGAUAUUUUAAAUAAAACUUUGUUUUUUAAAUA